GAUGAACGCUGGCGGCGUGCCUAAUACAUGCAAGUCGAGCGAACAGAUGAGGAGCUUGCUCCUCUGACGUUAGCCGCGGACGGGUGAGUAACACGUGUAUAACCUACCUAUCAGACUGGGAUAACUUCGGAAAACCGGAGCUAAUACCGGAUAAUAUAUUGAUCCGCAUGGUUCAAUAGUGAAAGACGGUUUUGCUGUCACUUCUCGAUGGAUCCGCGCCGCAUUAGCUAGUUGGUAAGGUAACGGCUUACCAAGGCAACGAUGCGUAGCCGAGCUGAGAGAGUGAUCGGCCACAUUGGAACUGAGACACGGUCCAUACUCCUACGGGAGGCAGCAGUAUGGAACCGGCCGCAAUGGUCGAAAACCUGACGGAGCAACGCCGCGUGAGUUAUGAAGGUCUCCGGAUCGUAAAACCCUGUUAUGAGGUAAGAACAAAUGUGUAAGGAAACAUGCACGGCUUGACGGUACCUAAUCAGAAAGCAACGGCUAACUACGUG
rnacentral:rRNA from 1 species